AAUAUUGGACAAUGGGGGCAACCCUGAUCCAGCCAUGCCGCGUGUGUGAAGAAGGUCUUCGGAUUGUAAAGCACUCUAAGUUGGGAGGAAGAGCUUUAGGCUAAUACCCUGAAGUUUUGACGUUACCAACAUAAUAAGCACCGGCUAACUAUGUGCCAGCCGACGCGGUAAUACAGAGGGUGCAAGCGUUAAUCGGUAUUACGGGGCGUAAAGCGCGCGUAGGGGGUUCAGUAAGAUGGGUGUGAAAUCCCCGGGCUUAACCUGGGAAGUGCUUUCAUAACUGCUGAGCGAGAGUACGGUAGAGAGUAGUGGAAUUCCGGGGUAGCGGUGAAAUGCGUAGAAAUAGGAAGGAACACCAGUGGCGAAGGCGACUACCUGGACUGAUACUGACACUGAGGUGCGAAAGCGUGGGGAGCAAACAG
rnacentral:rRNA from 1 species